rnacentral:tRNA from 1 species
GGGCGCGUAGCUCAGUUGGUUAGAGCGCUACUAUCACACAGUAGAAGUCGGGGGUUCGAGUCCCUCCGCGCCCACAA